UAGUCGAUAGCUCGGUGGCAGAGCAGUGGAAUGGUACCCCACAGGCCCCGGGUUCGACGCUCGGUCGAAAAA